GUCUCCAAGACAGAAGAACAGCAAAAUAUGCCUGGGCGACCCUCGGAGAGCUAAGAGGAGCAGGCCCUGACCCGAAUCCGACCCCACGGGUCCCUUCCGAGAACCCUCACCAGGUGUACCAUAACCCUGAGAAUCCAACCUUGCGCACCCUGGACUUCAGAGAGCCACGGGUGAAUUCUGACCUGGCAGGUGCGAGUCCUGGUGGGUCUGAGUUCGCCAAGUGAACAAUACGUGACUCAGUGCGCCUCUUUCUCUUGCAAUGUCCACUGUCCUGGGGUCUCAUCAUUGCGUUCAGGUUUGCAGCCUUGAUUUUCUAGAAGG
rnacentral:lncRNA from 1 species